rnacentral:pre_miRNA from 1 species
AUAAGAGCUAUGGAAAUGGAAGGAUGGGGAAGUUCUGUUUCCAAUUUUCUUUUAUCAAGUCCAUAACUUGAUGAGAAAUGGGUUACAGAGUACUUCCCGAAGCCUCCCAUUUCUAUGGUUCUUGC